UACGGGGAGGGCAAGCGUUGUUCGGAAUUACUGGGCGUAAAGGGUUCGUAGGUGGCUUGUUAAGUCAGACGUGAAAUCCCUCGGCUUAACCGGGGAACUGCGUCUGAGACUGAUGAGCUCGAGUGCAGGAGAGGAACGCGGAAUUCCAGGUGUAGCGGUGAAAUGCGUAGAUAUCUGGAGGAACACCGGUGGCGAAGGCGGCAUCCUGGACCAUUACUGACGCUGAGGAGCGAAAGCCAGGGGAGCAAACGGG
rnacentral:rRNA from 1 species